AGAGUUUGAUCAUGGCUCAGAUUGAACGCUGGCGGCAGGCCUAACACAUGCAAGUCGAACGGUAACAGGAAACAGCUUGCUGUUUCGCUGACGAGUGGCGGACGGGUGAGUAAUGUCUGGGAAACUGCCUGAUGGAGGGGGAUAACUACUGGAAACGGUAGCUAAUACCGCAUAACGUCGCAAGACCAAAGAGGGGGACCUUCGGGCCUCUUGCCAUCGGAUGUGCCCAGAUGGGAUUAGCUAGUAGGUGGGGUAACGGCUCACCUAGGCGACGAUCCCUAGCUGGUCUGAGAGGAUGACCAGCCACACUGGAACUGAGACACGGUCCAGACUCCUACGGGAGGCAGCAGUGGGGAAUAUUGCACAAUGGGCGCAAGCCUGAUGCAGCGACGCCGCGUGCGGGAUGACGGCCUUCGGGUUGUAAACCGCUUUUGACUGGGAGCAAGCCCUUCGGGGUGAGUGUACCUUUCGAAUAAGCACCGGCUAACUACGUGCCAGCAGCCGCGGUAAUACGUAGGGUGCAAGCGUUAUCCGGAAUUAUUGGGCGUAAAGGGCUCGUAGGCGGUUCGUCGCGUCCGGUGUGAAAGUCCAUCGCUUAACGGUGGAUCCGCGCCGGGUACGGGCGGGCUUGAGUGCGGUAGGGGAGACUGGAAUUCCCGGUGUAACGGUGGAAUGUGUAGAUAUCGGGAAGAACACCAAUGGCGAAGGCAGGUCUCUGGGCCGUUACUGACGCUGAGGAGCGAAAGCGUGGGGAGCGAACAGGAUUAGAUACCCUGGUAGUCCACGCCGUAAACGAUGAGUGCUAGGUGUUGGAUCCUUU
rnacentral:rRNA from 1 species